rnacentral:rRNA from 1 species
UACAGAGGUCUCAAGCGUUGUUCGGAUUCAUUGGGCGUAAAGGGUGCGUAGGCGGCGCGGUAAGUCGGGUGUGAAAUCUCGGAGCUUAACUCCGAAACUGCAUUCGAUACUGCCGUGCUUGAGGACUGGAGAGGAGACUGGAAUUUCCGGUGUAGCGGUGAAAUGCGUAGAUAUCGGAAGGAACAUCAGUGGCGAAAGCGACUUCCUGGACCAAUACUGACGCUCAUGUGCGAAAGCGUGGGGAGCAAACAGG